CAAUCAGAGCAGGGAAAGAGGCAGCCAAUCAGGGUCGGGCUAGGUCCUAUAAAAAGGCUGCCUAGCAGAGGAGAAGGCAGUCACUCCCUGAGUAGUGAGGGAGAAGAAUUGGAUCCUGAGCUAAGGAGUAGCACCUUGGACAGAGCAGUGCUGGGCAAGCUUGAGGAAGCAGAGCAGGACUUUGGCCCAGAUACUUGCCAGGCUGUGGCCCUCGCUAAGAGGCGUUGAGAAGAAACUCUCACUAUAUAAAAGGCAUAUAUGAUGGCAUUCUAUGAAAGUUUUAGUGGCAUGAAUUUGGGAUGGUCACAUUACUCAUAAGUGGACUCAAAAUUGCACCCUUCCUGGCACAUCAGGCCAGUGAAAUUAUUUUGGCGAGGAAAGAGAAGUUCCAUAUUUGAUGGGAAGAGAAAUAUUGCUAUGACAUUGUGGGACAGAUUCAUCCCAGGUGCUGCUCAAUUGAAAUGGAUGGAGUGACAUCAGAGAACAUUAUGGAUAUGGAUUGCCUAUGUAAUACAUACAGGAGGAUUAAUAAAUUGAAUUAACCUGUGUCAUCAUGAAGGCUGAUAUCAGAAGCACUUGUAUUUCAAUCUGGAUGUUAUCUGUCUUUUAUGAUUUCAUUGAAAUGAGGGCCUUUCUUCUUCUGAGCAGUGUUCUUUGGAAUUACCCCUCUAUCAAUACUUCUGGCUUAUACACUUAUGGAUAUUAUACUUUUGCCAGACUGUGGUACUGCUGAAAAUACAUAUUUGCUUUGGCGGACAGGAACACAGUCAAUAUUAAACUAGUUGCAUUAUUUUGCACAGAG